CCUACGGGAGGCUGCAGUGGGGAAUAUUGCACAAUGGGGGAAACCCUGAUGCAGCGACGCCGCGUGAGUGAAGAAGUAUUUCGGUACGUAAAGCUCUAUCAGCAGGGAAGAAAAUGACGGUACCUGACUAAGAAGCCCCGGCUAACUACGUGCCAGCAGCCGCGGUAAUACGUAGGGGGCAAGCGUUCACCGGAUUUACUGGGUGUAAAGGGAGCGUAGACGGCAGCGCAAGUCUGGAGUGAAAUCCCAUGGCUUAACCAUGGAACUGCUUUGGAAACUGUGCAGCUAGAGUGCAGGAGAGGUAAGCGGAAUUCCUAGUGUAGCGGUGAAAUGCGUAGAUAUUAGGAGGAACACCAGUGGCGAAGGCGGCUUACUGGACUGUAACUGACGUUGAGGCUCGAAAGCGUGGGGAGCAAACAGGAUUAGAUACCCUAGUAGUC
rnacentral:rRNA from 1 species